rnacentral:rRNA from 1 species
UGUGUAGGCGGCGCCGUAAGUCAGGUGUGAAAUUUCGAGGCUUAACCUCGAAACUGCAUUUGAUACUGCGGUGCUUGAGGACUGGAGAGGAGACUGGAAUUUACGGUGUAGCGGUGAAAUGCGUAGAUAUCGUAAGGAAGACCAGUGGCGAAGGCGGGUCUCUGGACAGUUCCUGACGCUGAGACACGAAGGCCAGGGAGGCAAACG